CAGCCGCCGCGGUAAUACGGAGGGUGCAAGCGUUAAUCGGAAUUACUGGGCGUAAAGCGCACGCAGGCGGUCUGACAAGUCAGAUGUGAAAUCCCCGGGCUUAACCUGGGAACUGCAUUUGAAACUGUCAGGCUGGAGUCUUGUAGAGGGGGGUAGAAUUCCAGGUGUAGCGGUGAAAUGCGUAGAGAUCUGGAGGAAUACCGGUGGCGAAGGCGGCCCCCUGGACAAAGACUGACGCUCAGGUGCGAAAGCGUGGGGAGCAAACAGGAUUAGAUACCCGUGUAGUCCCUGUCUCUUAUAC
rnacentral:rRNA from 1 species